UCCACGCUGAAGAAGCAAUAGGAAUUAUUGAGAGCGAGUGGCUUAGCUAGUGCUCUUGAAGCCAAUAUCUACAGCAGCAAUGAAUCAAAAGUACCGAUAUUUUUACCUACUUUAUGUUGUAUUGCUGAUGGUCGUACUUCUAAUCGCAGAUGUUAUAUGUCAAACCGCAAGUCGCGCUCUCGAAAAGAAGGUCCGCCUAUAUGACCAUUACUGCAGUGCCGUAAAGAUAUGUAAGUAUGGAAUGUGCUGUCGAAAAAAGGGCGCAAGAGCGAUAUGCCAUCCACUUGCCCAGUACGGCAAAAAGUGCACCGAACGUCCAGUAAAGGGCAUCUAUAAGCGUCAUUGCGAUUGUGCCUACGGCCAAGGGCUUUGUGUCAAUGGCGUAUGCAUCUAAGAAACGGCCGAGACACUGUCAUUUUCCUAUAAGUUUUUAGCUCGAAAGCUAGUAAAUCAUUACUAAGAAUUUGUAAGAAGAUACAGGCAAGAACAAAUAUACAUAAAACAUUUACCGUUUUUGUUCGUUUUUGUUGUCGACGUCGUACUCGCGCUGAUUGCUACCGCACUCAUGAAACAUGAAUGUUGUGUUGCAGUUCCCACCACUAACGUUUGAUGUGCUCAGGUGCUUGAAAGCUCAAGCUACUGCAUCAUAUAAAGAUUUCUAUGACUCCGUGUUCAAGGGCUUUUCAACACACACACCAGG